GCCUUCUGUCUCCUUUUCGUCCCUCCCCUGUUUUUUUCUCCGGUUGAAAAUCUGCAAAACCUUUCCGCAGACGUUGGCAACACAGUAGACUCGGUUGUGGAUUUGAGGACCUGGGCAAUGUUCCUGAUUUUAUGCAGAUGCCAUGGCUCCAUAUAUAAAGGACAUUCACUAAAAAGAAGGAGAUGCUGCAAGAAUCUGCUAUCACAGAUAUGGAGAGUGGGAAGUGUCCAGACACCAUUAAAAGCAUGA
rnacentral:lncRNA from 1 species